rnacentral:rRNA from 1 species
AGGAUGAACGCUAGCGGCAGGCUUAAUACAUGCAAGUCAAGGGGGUAGCAAUACAACCGGCGCACGGGUGAGUAACGCGUACACAACAUACCAUAUACUGGAGUAUAGCUUUGGGAAACUGAAGGUAAUCCUCCAUAACAUUGCGAGAGGGCAUCUGAUUGCAAUUAAAGUUCCGGCGGUAUAUGAUUGGUGUGCGUUUGAUUAGCUAGUUGGUAGGGUAACGGCCUACCAAGGCGACGAUCAAUAGCUGGCGUGAGAGCGCGACCAGCCACACUGGAACUGAGACACGGUCCAGACUCCUACGGGAGGCAGCAGUAGGGAAUAUUGGACAAUGGGCGAAAGCCUGAUCCAGCCAUGCCGCGUGAUAGAUGAAGGCCCUCUGGGUUGUAAAUAUCUUUUAUCUGGGAAGAAACUCCUCUAUUCUUAGAGGCCUGACGGUACCAGAGGAAUAAGCACCGGCUAACUCCGUG